GAGCAAGCGGAGGGUCUCAGUGUUCAUCUUAUAUUCUUAUUAAUUAACACAAACAUAAGCAUGACCCAAAGUAUGAUUUAAUUUAAUUAUGAUUUAAUUUAAUUUUAUGGUCAUUGUCUUUUAAUGUUGUUUUAAUUUGCUGACAUUUCUCAUUUUUUAUUUUUUGAAAAAGGGCAUUCAAUUUAAAACAAAAAAACAAAAUACAAUAUGUGAUUUGUUAGAUUACACAGUUUGGUAAAGUUAGAUACAUAAAGCAAUGAAAGAGCUCUAAAUCCUAAGGAGAACUUAGCACAACUCUUUAGCAUUACCAAAAUAUGGACGAUACUUGGGUUCUUGAUUUAGGAACAUCAACCCCUAGCUUCCCUUUCCCACGAACAUCUUCCAAUCCAUUUCUUGGUAUUUUGGUGUAGGCUUUCCUACCUUCUCUUGUGACACUAAGAUUGCCGAAAAC
rnacentral:lncRNA from 1 species